rnacentral:lncRNA from 1 species
AGUACCACUGGGUACCAAUGAGUGUCAGUGGGUACCAAUGUGAACCAGAGGAUACCAGUGAGUACCGAUGAGUACCAGUGGGCACCAGUAGGUUUUCUAUGGGGGUAGUGAGUACCAUUGAGUACCACUGAGUACCAGCAGGUACCAGUAGGUUUCCUAUGGGGGUAGUGAGUGCCAGUGAGUACCACUGAGUACCACUGAGUGCCAGUAGGUGCCAGUAGGUACUAUGGGGAUGGUGCCGAUGAGUACCAAUGGGUACCAAUGAGUGCCUAUGGGUACCAAUGAGAACCAGCGGGCACCAGUAGGUACCUCUGGGGGUAGUGAGUACCAGUGAGUACCACUGAGUACCAGCAGGUACCAGUAGUGGGGAUAGUGAGUGCCGAUGAGUACCACUGGGUACCAAUGAGUGUCAGUGGGUACCAAUGUGAACCAGAGGAUACCAGUGAGUACCGAUGAGUACCAGUGGGCACCAGUAGGUUUCCUAUGGGGGUAGUGAGUACCAGUGAGUACCACUGAGUACCAGCAGGUACCAGU